AUGUGUAGGGCUGCCUUAGAAGGGGAUGUAAAAUUUAUGGAGAAAUUUUCACCGGGCAGCACACAGUAUGUAGGUUGUUGGCGUAAGAAAUAUGGAUUUGAAGGGAUAUUAGUGGAAGUUCAGUGUAAAAUGCUUGUAGAAAGAAUAACUGUAAGUGCAGCAGGUAAAACAGGGACAGCUAAGCAGAGGAAGGAAUUGCAGUUAGCAGUCGCAAAGUUGUGGCUGGAGCAGGCUCAAAAGAGAAGAGAAGCACAUAGGGUUGCCAACUCCCUGAAAAAGUAUGGAGAGGCAUUAGGAGCAGCAUUGAGUCCAAAACAGACUAGGCAGGAGAGGAGACAGAAAGGAAAGAAAGUGAACAUAAACGUUGCAACCACAUAUCCAUCCCUGACACAACAAAAAAAAAAAAACGUGGUGUUUAAGUCUGCCUUGAAAGAGGACGAAAUACACUGCAAAGUUUUAUUGGGCAGCACGUGGUGUGUGGUUCGUUGAAGAAUGAAGUGAAAUUGUGCUCUAAGCAGAAGUGAGUGUGAGCGUGUCUGACGUCACGGUGUGUGUGUGAAAAGGUAUCCAGCUGUGGCAGACGUGAUUCUGCAGGUCACCUGCCCAGUGGACAAAAAGAGAUAAAAUAGUUGUGUUGGUGAAUGAUAGCACGAAGAGUGUUUGGUAUUUCUCAGCCUGAAACAGCUGUAACGCUACUUUCUGUUUUUGAGAGAGAGAGAGAGGGAGAGAGAGAGAGCAGUUUAAGCAGUGAUGAGAAUAAUGAAAAUGUGAUGAGAGAGGAACACAAAAACAUACAGAAAAUGCAUCAACCAUACUAACCCUACAUGCACAUACACAUAAAAUUAUACUCAUGAAGACCAGACAGCAUCUUAAGCAUGAGAUUCUGUUUGUCAUCUUGUCCAAGUCACUAGUAAGAUGAAAGUGAUACAUAGACUAGUGGACUAUGUUUGGUGAUCAGUGUUGUACUUUUAUUCCCAAUAACACUGCUCCAGAUGGCUCGGUUACUCGAGC
rnacentral:lncRNA from 1 species